GACGAACGCUGGCGGCGUGCUUAACACAUGCAAGUCGAACGGAAAGGCCCUGGUUUUGUGGGGUGCUCGAGUGGCGAACGGGUGAGUAACACGUGAGUAACCUGCCCUUGACUUUGGGAUAACUUCAGGAAACUGGGGCUAAUACCGGAUAGGAGCUCCUGCUGCAUGGUGGGGGGUGGAAAGUUUCGGCUGUUGGGGAUGGACUCGCGGCUUAUCAGCUUGUUGGUGGGGUAGUGGCUUACCAAGGCUUUGACGGGUAGCCGGCCUGAGAGGGUGACCGGACCCAUUGGGACUGAGCUACGGCACAGACUCCUACGGGAGGCAGCAGUGGGGAAUAUUGCACACUGGGCGGAAGCCUGAUGCAGCAACGCCGCGUGCGGGAUGACGGCCUUCGGGUUGUAAACCGCUUUCGCCUGUGACGAGGAGUGAGUGACGGUAAUGGGUAAAGAAGCCCCGGCUAACUACGUG
rnacentral:rRNA from 1 species